UUCCUAUUGGGAAGACCAUCAUAUUGAAGAACAAGGUCAAACUUCUUGAAGUCCUGAAAGAAUAAUGAUACCUAAAGCCUAAUGCUGGGGAGAAGAAAAGUAGAUGGUGCUUCAGUUCCCAGGCUUGGAGUCUGAGGUUGAGACCAUGAAGGAGAAAGAAGAUGAAGAAAGAAGACUGUGCCAUGGGGCAGGUGGAUUGGCCAGGAGGACUGGCCUGGUGUAUGAGCAGUCUAGGUAGAACAUGGAAAAUGAUAUCUCACAGCUAUUAACAGGAACUAUACAAAAUAGUCAGUCCAACUGCAAUAAUUUAAAUCUUAUUAUAAAUACCAAGUCCUUUGUGCUAUAUUUGGUACCUUUUUGAUUCAAGUGUGGUAAUAAAUAAAUAAAUAAUAUUUACCACAUCAA